GAUUUGUGGUAGGGCAUAAAUCCUGGGAUACAAACUUGAUUGUAAAAUGAGAAGGAGAAGAAAGAGUUGUGGGAGCCAUCCAAACUGAGGGAGCAAUAGUUUUUCUUGCACUUUUUUGGAACAGGAUGAUCUAUAGAAUGCUUCAGAGAGCUGAGAAUAAAUUGCUCUUCUCACUAAGAGAUGAUGGGAGAACAGAAGGUCCCUUCUCCGUGCAGCACAGUCAUACUGUAUACAGAUGACCACCAGACUCAGGAAAUAGAAAAGGAUCUCUAUAAAAUAAUGUAGGCCCUUACAUGAGAAAGAAAUUCUAACAGCUACCAGGUGAACAGAGAAGAACAGCAAAAAGAGCUCCCUCACUCUGUAGACAAAGCAGAACUGAAGAAUGGUCUUCUCCUUCAAGAUGAGCAAACAGGACAAAACAAAACCAACAGAAAAGCUUCUGCAAGCCAAAAGCAGAGAAAUGUCACAUUCAAGACAGAAAAGAAAUAAAUGCUUCAACAAAGAUCUCCUACAAGGUUUGUCUAAGAUGGUCGACAACAUCAGUUUUUUGUCCCUGAAAUCUGAGCAGGCUAUGAAAAUAGGAAAGGAGGGUUUAAGACAGCAAGAGACUCAGAAGAGGCUGUCUGAAGCACAGGAUGAGAAAAAAAGGGAAUUAGCUGAAGAAGAACAUAUUAGAAGUAAACUAGAAAUGUAUUGGCAGAAUUAAAAAUUUACAAUAAAAUUAUUUCUCAAAAUUAAAAAUACAUAAAAAUCAAUGUAAUUUGAGCUGGGGGUGGCGGCACAUGCCUAUAAUCCCAGCAGCUCAGGAGGCUGAGGCAGGAGGAUUUCAAGUUCAAAGCCAGCCUCAGCAAUUUAGCAAGGCCCUAAGCAACUCAGCAAGACGCUGACUCUAAAUAAAAUACAAAAAGGGGCUGGGGAUGUGGCUCAAUGGUUAAGGGACCUUGGGUUCAAUUCCUGGUAUGAAAAAAAUUUAAAAAAAAAUUUAAAUCACUGUAAUUGGAAAGAAUUG
rnacentral:lncRNA from 1 species